GUUUAGGGGUAAACCUGAGAAACCCGAAAGGUCGAAGGGAGAAAUUCAUCGCGUUUCGCGGUAGACGGCGAGCGGUCGCGCGACGGAAGGACGUUUACGCUCUUUCGCGCCGUCAGUUCGUCGAAUUUGCCGCGAACGCGUGCACUUUUCUUCUGGUAGGACGUCGCGAUCCGUUGGGCGUCAGUCUACGGCUCGAGGUGGAGCCCGCCCGUCGCUCUCAUCAGCGCACGGACGGACCCUCGUGUCCCGGCUGACUCGCUCGACGGUACACUCGAAAGGUUAGGGGCCGCUCCUCUGCGAGCGUUCGGCUCGCGGCAAGCGCGUCAGACGUGUCGGCGAUCGGACCCAGUGCCGAUUCCGACCUCUGGCGACUGUUGGCCGUCGAAGUUCUCGAACAGACCGGUUGACCGAUCUGCGACGCUAUAGCUUUGGGUACUUUCAGGACCCGUCUUGAAACACGGACCAAGGAGUCUAGCAUGUGCGCGAGUCAUUGGGAAUCGCUAAACCUAAAGGCGCAAUGAAAGUAAAGGUCUUCCUCGCGAAGACCGAGGGAAGACGAGCGGUUUACCGUUAAAAGUGGCCGUUCCGCACUCCCGGGGCGUCUCGUUCUCAUCGCGAGAAGAGGCGCACCAAGAGCGUACACGCUGGGACCCGAAAGAUGGUGAACUAUGCCUGGUCAGGACGAAGUCAGGGGAAACCCUGAUGGAGGUCCGUAGCGAUUCUGACGUGCAAAUCGAUCGUCGGAACUGGGUAUAGGGGCGAAAGACUAAUCGAACCAUC
rnacentral:rRNA from 1 species